UGGGGAAUUUUGGACAAUGGGGGAAACCCUGAUCCAGCCAUCCCGCGUGUGCGAUGAAGGCCUUCGGGUUGUAGAGCACUUUUGGCAGGAAAGAAACGUCAUGGGUUAAUACCCCGUGAAACUGACGGUACCUGCAGAAUAAGCACCGGCUAACUACGUGCCAGCAGCCGCGGUAAUACGUAGGGUGCAAGCGUUAAUCGGAAUUACUGGGCGUAAAGCGUGCGCAGGCGGUUCGGAAAGAAAGAUGUGAAAUCCCAGAGCUCAACUUUGGAACUGCAUUUUUAACUACCGGGCUAGAGUGUGUCAGAGGGAGGUGGAAUUCCGCGUGUAGCAGUGAAAUGCGUAGAUAUGCGGAGGAACACCGAUGGCGAAGGCAGCCUCCUGGGAUAACACUGACGCUCAUGCACGAAAGCGUGGGGAGCAAACAGG
rnacentral:rRNA from 1 species